UACGUAGGGUGCAAGCGUUAAUCGGAAUUACUGGGUGUAAAGCGUGCGCAGGCGGCUUUGCAAGACAGAUGUGAAAUCCCCGGGCUUAACCUGGGAACUGCAUUUGUGACUGCAUGGCUGGAGUGCGGCAGAGGGGGAUGGGAUUCCGCGUGUAGCAGUGAAAUGCGUAGAUAUGCGGAGGAACACCGAUGGCGAAGGCAAUCCCCUGGGCCUGCACUGACGCUCAUGCACGAAAGCGUGGGGAGCAAACAGG
rnacentral:rRNA from 1 species